GAUAGGCAAGCAGUGUGCGUUGACAGAGUUCUGAGCGAACACAGUCUUCAGCACCAAAGCGUACCACCCCGACAACAUCAUCAUCAGAAAAACGCUGCAUCGCAUCAGCAAGCCCGGAUUUAACACCUGCUGGUAGGUCACAUUGGGUAAUAUCACCGUUAACGAUCACGGUCACAUUCUCCCCUAAGCGAGUG
rfam:Bacteria symbiont BFo2 of Frankliniella occidentalis strain BFo2 contig078, whole genome shotgun sequence.